rnacentral:rRNA from 2 species
GCGAUCCCAGGUCAGGCGGGGCUACCCGCUGAGUUUAAGCAUAUCAAUAAGCGGAGGAAAAGAAACUAACGAGGAUUCCCUUAGUAGCGGCGAGCGAACCGGGAAGAGCCCAGCGUGAAAAUCGUCCGUCAUCGGCGGCCGAAUUGUAGUCUGGAGAAGCGUCCUCAGUGACGGACCGGACCCAAGUUCACUGGAAGGUGGCGCCGGAGAGGGUGAGAGCCCCGUCGUGUCCGGACCCUGUCGCACC